CCUACGGGGGGCUGCAGUGGGGAAUAUUGCACAAUGGGCGCAAGCCUGAUGCAGCCAUGCCGCGUGAGUGAUGAAGGCCUUAGGGUUGUAAAGCUCUUUCACCGAUGAAGAUAAUGACGGUAGUCGGAGAAGAAGCCCCGGCUAACUUCGUGCCAGCAGCCGCGGUAAUACGAAGGGGGCUAGCGUUGUUCGGAAUUACUGGGCGUAAAGCGCACGUAGGCGGAUAUUUAAGUCAGGGGUGAAAUCCCGCAGCUCAACUGCGGAACUGCCUUUGAUACUGGGUAUCUUGAGUAUGGAAGAGGUUAGUGGAAUUGCGAGUGUAGAGGUGAAAUUCGUAGAUAUUCGCAGGAACACCAGUGGCGAAGGCGGCUAACUGGUCCAUAACUGACGCUGAGGUGCGAAAGCGUGGGGAGCAAACAGGAUUAGAUACCCGGGUAGUC
rnacentral:rRNA from 1 species